rnacentral:tRNA from 1 species
CCAAGUGGUCUAGUGGUAUGAUUCUCGCUUAGGGUGCGAGAGGUCCCGGGUUCAAUUCCCGGCUUG